AUACGUAGGUGGCAAGCGUUGUCCGGAAUUAUUGGGCGUAAAGCGCAUGUAGGCGGUUUGGUAAGUCGGUCGUGAAAAUGCGGUGCUUAACGCCGUAUGGCGAUUGAAACUGCCGAACUUGAGUGCAGGAGAGGAAAGGGGAACUCCCAGUGUAGCGGGGAAAUGCGUAGAUAUUGGGAAGAACACCGGUGGCGAAGGCGCCUUUCUGGACUGUGUCUGACGCUCAGAUGCGAAAGCCAGGGUAGCGAACGGGAUUAGAUACCCCGGUAGUCCUGGCCGUAAACGAUGGGUACUAGGUGUGGGAGGUAUCGACUCCUUCCGUGCCGGAGUUAACGCAAUAAGUACCCCGCCUGGGGAGUACGGCCGCAAGGCUUAAACUCAAAUGAAUUGACGGGG
rnacentral:rRNA from 1 species